rnacentral:lncRNA from 1 species
UUUCAUUUAUAACUUUUUUUCGAUUUUCAAAUAUAAAACAGGAAAUACGAUAACGAGAGACUUGACAAACUCAACUAUACUACGACAAACUCUAACACCAACUAAAAGAAUCAGUGCUACUGAACAUGACUAUAAAGUACAAGACAACAAAAAAAUAGACUCAAAAACUAAAUAAAAAAUAUCCUUAAGCAACUCCUGGAUUGAACGGUCCUGACUGGAUGGUCCUGGGUGUCUGUCAUGCUCAAGCUCUAGUAAAUAGAUCCACACCUGUAUGAGAAAAAUACGGCCAAAUAGAGUUAGAACACUAUGUGAGACACUAAAACUUCCUAUUGGAUACAUGCAAGAUAUGAUUGAGGCUAUUUUUGCAAAAUAGCUUAUGUGGCCAAUAGGUGGUUAUAAGCCAAACUCAACAAAAGUGACCUCUAAGACAUGGAAACAUUACUUGCAGAAAUGGCCUAUGUGGCCAAAAAAUGGCUAAGUGUGCAAAUUCAACAUAAUGGACCUUAAACUGAGAGGAUACCUUGUUGUGGACUUAAGACUCUAAGACAUGGGUCAUUGAACCACUUUUGCGAAAAUGACCCCAUUUUGCAACAAUGACCGAUGUGACCAAAAACGGCUAAACAUGCAAAUUCGACAAGGAUGGGCCUGAAAGUAAAGAGACACCUAAUUGUGGAUUCAAGACGCUCUAGAUAAUUAAACAAACCACUUUGCAAAAAUAGCCAUAUUUUGCAAAAUGACCGAUGUGGCCAAGAGUGGCUAGACAUGUAAGAUUUGGCUACGACCCUCGAAGCCAAGAACCUAAGACUCACUAGGAAAACCGGACCCUAUGUAGGCUACCUACGUAUCUUUCCCCGAAAGACGAGAAUCAGGUAUGUGUAGUUCAGGCAGAUUGGAUACGGGCGAGAAUAAAAAAUAACUGAUUUGGAGAAAACAUAUUUUUCCUUUUUUGAAAAAUGAUGAAACAUGUAAACUCUUUUUGGAUUUUCUUUUCCCUUUUUUGAUUUUUUUAGGAAGAUGAUGGGAAAGUGCAAAAUAUUUUUUUCUUGGGAUUUUUUUUUUGCCUUUUUUAAAAAAAUGUGAAAGAAAAACAUAAUUGGGCCCUACUUGCUUUAUUUUCACACUUCACCCUCUUUUCUCACUCAUUUACCCUCAACCAUCAUUGGUCCGCCAAAUAACCCUUUUUACCCUUGAAGAAUGGAACAUAUAGCAUAUAAGAUGCAUCAGGAUGGUCUUUUAUUUUUGGGUACACCUGUCCUAGACGGACUCAACCCCUAUGUUGAGUACCUAAAGUCAAAUGCACAUGAUGCAAACAAACGUGCCUACUAGGGAUCCGGUAUGAGGUAAUAUUAUUCUAGGUUUAAACUUGGGGGUGGGUUCUAGACAUGGCUUACCCGAACGGACAAUUUAAGUCGAGGUCGGGGCAACGUACUGGGAGCACGAAAGUUUACCCGGCCUAGUUGCUGAUCCAGCCUCGUUCUAUUUGGUAUGAAUUCUAACAAAAAAGUGGGCCAUGCAUACGUGUGCACCAUAUUUUCGGAAGGGAGGUGUAAAAAGACAUUUAAAUAUAGUUCAAAUAAUAUCAAAGUGGUAUAUGAGCGGCAAUUAGCAUAGUAGGUCCACAAAUACAGUAAUAUCAACAAACAAUAAAGCCAAACAUAGAUCAUAUUUAACAAGCUCGAAUUCUGAACCCUGAACUAGAUGUUCUGGGUUCUUUUCCCCAGCAGAGUCGCUAGAGCUGUCACACCUCCUUUUUACCCGAAAGGGAAUAAUGGAGUUUUUCCAAUUAAAGUGUGACAUAAUCGAAAUAGGAUUAUUUAUUUAAAUUCAGAGUCACCACUUGGAAUAAUUUAUGGUGUCCCAAGUCACCGGUUUAUUUUAAAUCCCAAGUCGAGGAAUUUUGACUCUAUUUAUGUUCUACAAACACAGAAGACCGAGUAAAGAAUUCUAUUAACCCGGGAGAAGGUGUUAGGCAUUCCCGGGUUCCGUAGUUUUAGCACAGUCUCUUUAAUCAUACCUGUCUUUAUUAAAUUAUUUAAUUAUUACUUUAGAACCUAUGUGCAUUUACCUUUUUACCGCUUCUAAUUACUUGACUAUUCGUAAUUUUGGAAUUAUCCUAAAAUGAGUUACGCGUACGUGUACUCAUUUUGUUCGGCGCGUCAAGAAUCAUAUCAUGCAUACGUGGACACAAUUAAUCACGCUUUAUUAUUAUUAAGAAUGUUUGGCCGAAGUUGCGCGAACGCAUACCUUGGUUUUAAUUUUGGAAAUCGUAAUCAUGUCACGUGAACGUGUACAUAAUUACGAUAAUUUAUUUAUCAAUACACGCUUAAAGCAUACAAGCGAUUUGUGAGUUAUUUAUUUCCUAAGUUAAAACUAUUGCAAGGCCAAGAAUUACGGAGGAGAAAUUUUCUAUAUCAACCUCCUACAGCCCAACAAAUGAAGACCAGAACUAGUAUAGGAUCCAAAUCUUUCAAAUUUUAAAUCAAAGUCCAAAUUAGUUUUAUUUAAUAAAGAACAAGACUGUUUCUAUGGCAACAUUAGUUUCUCUACGACAACAAAUAAAAAAAUGCACACUUACAUUUAGAACGAGUCUGUGUAUUUCUCUACGGCAACAUUAGUUGUAUUAAAUCUUCUCUUAAUAUAAAACUCCACUUUUAUGGAAGAAAUCAAAAAAAUAAUAUUUUUAUCAACUUCAAAUGCAAUAACAAACAUCUUAAUUAAUAAUAAAACUGGACUGGAUUCAAAUGCGUUCAAUCUUCAAGAAAAUAAGUAAAGAGCAAAAUAUACAAUCGUAAAAUUUCAUGUGUUUAGCGCAGGAUUAUUAAAUCGAACAACUCCAAUAUUCAGCCAUGAAAAGCAAAACCAAAUACAAUUAUACAAUGGCCUUAGAUGCGUACCUAGUUGUCAACAAUCCAAAGAAAAAUCAGAAGAAUAACUGAACGGGACCGUGACCGGAUCAGAAACUAACGCCGGCGACCUCAAACGGACCUCAAAUUAGAAGCUUCGAACGGAUCUCCCACGAAAUCCAUUUUUGAAACCAGAAAAUUGGUUCAAACAAAGAAAACAAAAACGAUGGGGUGGGGUUGCCAUUGCUCGUUGUUCUCAAAGAUUUGAAGAGAUCAGAGGGUCUGUUCUUGGGCGUUCCCCUAAGGUUAGAGAUUCAGAGUCUCGUCAUCUCUCUAUGUGUGUGCGCAAGAGCUGAUAGAUUAAGGAAAUGGGGUCGUUUUUCUUUCGAAAGAAGCAGCAUUGUUCAAGGUCCAAAUUCAAGGGGUCUGCCUACUUUUGAAGAGUUCUGAUUAUCUCGUUCUCUUAGGGGUGUACAGCGAUAAGGUGGAGAAUGGGGGGAACUCCACGGCAUGUGAGUGAGUGUCUGUGUUCAGUGUGGUGGUCGGUUGGUUCUGGAGUUGGUCGUUGGGGUGAGUCGGCUGCUUUGGUCUGAGAUAGAGUGACGAUGGAGGGGUUGGUGGGUGGUUGUUCCGACGACGGUUGGUUUAUUUGAAGGGUGGUGCAGCAGUUAGGGAGAUUAGGGUUCCUCCUAUCUAAAGAAGAAGAAGAGGGGAACCACUGGGUUCUUUAGGUCUCUAGGGUUCUGUCGUUGGCUUCAUGUGGGUGAAGAAGAAAAAGGUCGCUGGUUGUUGUGAAGGUGAUGGCUGGUUUUUGUGGUUGGAGAUUACGGUUGUCUUCUAGGUUUCUUGGGGUGGUAGAAGAUGAAGAUGAGAUAAAGUUUCCUUUUUUCGGUCACAGAUGAUAAAAAAUGGCUGACCUUUUUCUUGGGGUCCUUCUAG